rnacentral:ncRNA from 1 species
AUUUUCGGGAGAUACCUAUUAAGUUUGGUAGCCGAAGAAGCAAGUGUUUAUUUUGCCAAAUAAAUAUGAAACUCUCAGGCAAAAGGACCGAAAAUG